GCGGCAUGAAAUGCAUCCAGAAAUCCAAACCAUUUUGCCAGACUUUCGCCCCUAGGCCGGUUCCCAGUCCAGCUCCGGAGCCACCGUGCCGAGUUCUCCCAGGCCGCACUCACCCCGGAGGAAGCCUUGGCCCCCUCGUCCUCUUCGCCCCUCCAGGCCGGCGACGUGGGGCUGACGGCCAGGUCGCAAAAAGCAGGGCCGAGCGGAGCCCGCUCCCCUCGGUCGGCGGUGGAGACCCCGGCCCAAUCCCCCGGCCGCAGCGGUACGGCGUCGGCGGCAGCAGCUGACCCGGACACAGUGAGAAGCCCCGGCGGAAGUGAUAACAUCCCGACCUCCUCCGGGCGCGGCAGCCGGCGGUGGAGGCGGCGGGGGCGUGGCGGCGGCGGAGGCGUGGCGUCUUCUUGAAACCCACACAGCAUCCCCCCAACCCCCUCAGACGUCACGGGCUAGCGCUCGCGCCUGCACUCGCGGGGUCGGCCUUCCUUGCCUGUGGGCGGACCCGUCGCGUCGACUCCUUAUUGGUGGCGUUACUACGCCUCAAGGCGUUUCUUCCCUCUUUGCUGUUCGCAGGGACGCUGCCUGGUAGUUUCAGUUACUUUUGUUUUCUUUCUGCCUGCCUUUAUUGAUCAUUACAGUAGGUGAAAUUAUCGAUAUCAAUAAUAAUAUUGUAAUACAAUAGGUGCAAUUAUCAAUAUCAAUAUUAUUACAACAGGUGCAAUUAUCAGUAUCAUUACAAUAGGUGCAAUUAUCAGCGAUCAAUAAUGUGAAUUAUAAAAUGGAUGAAAUAAGGGGAGGAGGUCGGGCGCGGUGGUUUACGCUUGUAAUCCCAGCACUUUGGGAGGGCGAGGCGGGUGGAUUACCGGAGGUCAAGAGCUCGAGACCAGCCUGGCCAACAUGGUGACACCUCGUCUCUACUAAACAAACAAAAAUUAGCUGGGCGUGGUGGCGCGCGUCUGUAAUCCCAACUACUCAGGAGGCGAGGGCGGAGGCGGAGGCGGAGUUGGAGUUUGCAGUGAGCCGAGAUCGUGCCAUUGCACUCCAGCUUGGGCAACAGAGCAAAAACUCC
rnacentral:lncRNA from 1 species